GUCUACGGCCAUACCACCCUGAACAUGCCCGAUCUCGUCUGAUCUUGGAAGCUAAGCAGGGUUGGGCCUGGUUAGUGCUUGAAUGGGAGAACCACUGCUCUAAAGAGACUAGCUGGUCAGAGGCA
rnacentral:rRNA from 1 species